rnacentral:RNase_P_RNA from 1 species
GGAGUGGGUGAGGCGAUCGCUCGGCCGGACCGAUUCCAGGUCUUGGCCGGGAGGAAAGUCCGAACUGGGCAGGGCACGGUGGUUGCUAACGGCAACCCGGCGUGAGCCGAGGGAUAGUGCCACAGAAAAUAUACCGCCCCUAUCAAGCCCACGUGACUUGAUGGAAGGUAAGGGUGAAAUGGUGCGGUAAGAGCGCACCGCGAACACGGGUGACCGUGUCGGCAUGGUAAACCCCACCGCCAGCAAGCCCAAAUAGGCAGCGAGAGGCGGCCCGUCUCGUUUGAGCUGCGGGUAGGGUGCUCGAGCAGUCUGGCGACAGGCUGCCUAGAUGAAUGAUUGCCGUCCGCCUAGGCGGACAACAGAAUUCGGCUUAUUCGCCCGCUCCGUUU